AUUGGGCGUAAGGGCUCGCAGGCGGUUUCUUAAGUCUGAUGUGAAAGCCCCCGGCUCAACCGGGGAGGGUCAUUGGAAACUGGGAAACUUGAGUGCAGAAGAGGAGAGUGGAAUUCCACGUGUAGCGGUGAAAUGCGUAGAGAUGUGGAGGAACACCAGUGGCGAAGGCGACUCUCUGGUCUGUAACUGACGCUGAGGAGCGAAAGCGUGGGGAGCGAACAGGAUUAGAUACCCUGGUAGUCCACGCCGUAAACGAUGAGUGCUAAGUGUUAGGGGGUUUCCGCCCCUUAGUGCUGAAGCUAACGCAUUAAGCACUCCGCCUGGGGAGUACGGCCGCAAGACUGAAACUCAAAGGAAUUGACGGGGGCCCGCACAAGCGGUGGAGCAUGUGGUUUAAUUCGAAGCAACGCGAAGAACCUUACCAGGUCUUGACAUCCUCUGACAAGCCUAGAGAUAGGACGUCUCCUUCGGGAGCAGAGUGACAGGUGGUGCAUGGUUGUCGUCAGCUCGUGUCGUGAGAUGUUGGGUUAAGUCCCGCAACGAGCGCAACCCUUGAUCUUAGUUGCCAUCAUUCAGUUGGGCACUCUAAGGUGACUGCCGGUG
rnacentral:rRNA from 1 species